rnacentral:rRNA from 1 species
AUGCACGUAUGAGUUCAGCUCGAGGAAAGCGAAACCGCGAAUGGCUCAGUAAAUCAGUCAUGGUUUAUUUGACAGUACGUUACUUGGAUAACUGUGGUAACUCUAGAGCUAAUACAUGCUAUGCCUCACGUGCUCUCGAAAGAUUGACAGAGGAGCUUUUAUUAGUUUCAAGUCCGUACCCUUUUGUCGACCUAGACUCUUGUGGUGGCUUGGUGAACUCUAGAUAACUGCAGGACCAGUUUGCCUCUUUGAGCUACUGGCGUGUCAUUCAAGUGUCUGCCCUAUCAAGUUUGGACGGUAGGGUACCGGCCUACCGUGCUUACGACGGGUAACGGGGAAUCAGGGUUCGAUUCCGGAGAGGGAGCCUGAGAGACGGCUACCACAUCUAAGGAAGGCAGCAGCCGCGCAAAUUACCCAAUCUCAGCACGAGGAGGUAGUGACGAAAAAUAACAAUACGGGGCCCAAGGGUCUCGUCAUUGGAUUGAGCAUAAUUUAAACACUUAUGCGAUAUCUAGUAGAGGGCAAGUCUGGUGCCAGCAGCCGCGGUAAUUCCAGCUCUACAAGCGUAUACUCAUGAUGCUGCGGUUAAAAAGCUCGUAGUUGGAUCUGAAGUAGGGGCCCUGUGCUCACCUUAUGUGUGACAUGGGGUUUUUUAGCCCUGCUCCCCCUCCGUUUGAAGACAUUUGCACUUUACUGUGUGAACGUCCGAUCUGGAGUUAGUACUUUGAAAAAAUUAGAGUGUUCAAAGCAGGUAUACGUGUAUACUGAAGCAUGGAAUAGUAGAGUAGGGCCGCGCCCUCAAACUACUGGUCUCUUGGUGUGCGGAAAUGAUUAAAAGGGACAGGCGGGGGCAUUCGUAUUGUCACGUUAGAGGUGAAAUUCUUGGAUCGUGACAAGACGGACUACUGCGAAAGCAUUUGCCAAGAAUGUUUUCAUUAAUCAAGAACGAAAGUUAGAGGAUUGAAGAGGAUCAGAUACCCUCGUAGUUCUAACCAUAAACCUUGCCAACUUGCCUUCAGCCGAUGUUGUUUUUGACACGGCUGGCGGCUACCGGGAAACCAAAGUGUUUGGGUUCCGGGGGAAGUAUGGUUGCAAAACUGAAACUUAAAGGAAUUGACGGAAGGGCACCACCAGGAGUGGAGCCUGCGGCUUAAUUUGACUCAACACGGGAAAACUCACCAGGUCCAGACAUAGUAAGGAUUGACAGACUGAAGCUCUUUCUUGAUUCUAUGGUUGGUGGUGCAUGGCCGUUCUUAGUUGGUGGAGCGAUUUGUCAGGUUAAUUCUGAUAACGAACGAGACCCCAGCCUGCUAACUAGCGUGGAUAACAUCUGUUAUCUAAAGCUUCUUAGAGGGACAGGGUUUUUUCAAGGAUCAGGAAGAGGGGUCAUAACAGGUCUGUGAUGCCCUUAGACGUCCUGGGCUGCACGCGCGCUACACUGGGUGCUACAGCAUGUCUGAUUCACCUGGUCCGAAAAGGUCCGGGCAAUCACCAAUAGCACCCGUGCUUGGGAUAGAUUUUUGUUAGUAUGAGUCUUGAACGAGGAAUUCCUAGUAAGCGCAAGUCAUUAGCUUGCGUUGAUUACGUCCCUGCCCUUUGUACACACCGCCCGUCGCUACUACCGAUUGGAUGUUAAAGCGAACACCUCUGACUCUGGAGCACUGCUGUAAAAGUGGUGUGCUGGACGAAGUACCGUAAGCUUUGAUAUCUA